rnacentral:misc_RNA from 1 species
GAUGAAGAACGCAGCGAAAUGCGAUAAGUAAUGUGAAUUGCAGAAUUCAGUGAAUCAUCGAAUCUUUGAACGCACAUUGCGCCCCCUGGUAUUCCGGGGGGCAUGCCUGUCCGAGCGUCAUUGCUGCCCUCAAGCACGGCUUGUGUGUUGGGCCCCGUCCCCUCCCCCGGGGACGGGCCCGAAAGGCAGCGGCGGCACCGCGUCCGAUCCUCGAGCGUAUGGGGCUUUGUCACCCGCUCUGUAGGCCCGGCCGGCGCCAGCCGACACCCAACUUUUAUUUCUAAGGUUGACCUCGGAUCAGGUAGGGAUACCCGCUGAACUUAAGCAUAUCAAUAAGCGGAGGA